rnacentral:rRNA from 1 species
UACGGGGGGAGCAAGCGUUGUUCGGAUUUACUGGGCGUAAAGGGCGCGUAGGCGGUCAGCACAAGUCAGUUGUGAAAUCUCCGAGCUUAACUCGGAACGGUCAACUGAUACUGUGCGACUAGAGUGCGGAAGGGGCAACUGGAAUUCUCGGUGUAGCGGUGAAAUGCGUAGAUAUCAGAGGAACACCUGCGGCGAAGGCGGGUUGCUGGGCCGACACUGACGCUGAUGCGCGAAAGCCAGGGGAGCGAACGGG